UACGUAGGGGGCUAGCGUUGUCCGGAAUCAUUGGGCGUAAAGAGCGUGUAGGCGGCUUGGUAAGUCCGCUGUGAAAGUCCAGGGCUUAACCCUGGAAAGCCAGUGGAAACUGUCAAGCUAGAGUCCGGAAGAGGUGAGUGGAACUCCUGGUGUAGCGGUGAAAUGCGCAGAUAUCAGGAAGAACACCAAUGGCGAAGGCAGCUCACUGGGACGGUACUGACGCUGAGACGCGAAAACGUGGGGAGCAAACAGG
rnacentral:rRNA from 1 species